GUAUCUUCCCCCAACGUCCCUUUCCUGAGUCAGCCAGUGACAAUGCAUCCAGCUAUAAGUGGUCUGGGGUUUGUCAAAGUCAAGACUGGGUGAGAUUCAACUCUUGGAGAGCAAGGAGACGUAUUAGAUUACAGAGGAAGGCCAGGGGAGGUAAACAAAUAAAGAGCAGUUGCUGAAAAAAGGUCGAUUGGGAAAUCAUGGACCUCAUCUUUAGCAUAUGGCAGCAGGAUAGGAUAGAAGUCCUUGAACCUGAAGAAUCUACUUGACCUGCUGAGUAUUGCCAACAUCUUCUGUUCCUACAGAUAUAUCAGUCUUUACACAGGAGUUUGAUGAAGGUUGGAGCAGAGUACACAGCCUGGAGGUGAGGUGCAGCCUAUGAUUGGCUCCAUUGAUUCUCUCCGAUUGAGGUGUCGUGCAAGGUUGAAGCCAAUGAGGUCAGGAGCAGAGGACAGG